UUCUCUCUCUCUGAUAAUUUAUUUUCUGCACAACUUUGAUACAUUGCUCUAUACAAGUUUUCCUCUAUUUACCAAAUAUAUCAUAACACUCUCCAAUGGGAUCUACGACUGUCUCUUCAAGGUACAGAAUUGGAACACUAACCAAGUGCAGGAAUGGUGGACAUAACAAGCACGGCUGUGGCCAUAUCAAGAUCAUUGUCUCCUCAAAAUAUCAAAGACUGCCACUCCUAUUUUUCAGUGAUAUAUAUGGGCCCUGAAGCCACAUAGCAGAUAAGGAUAUAGCAGUCAAGUUAUUAGAAUAAUUGUAGCAGUUUAUCCCUAUCAAGUGACAGUAGUUUUCUCUAUCAUAAAAAACAAAAAAGUAGCAGUAGUUUUUUGCGUUUUUUGUUGAUAGGGUCAAGUAGCAGUAGUUGGAUUUGAAAUAAACUCAUUCCAUUUUGUAGAG